rnacentral:rRNA from 1 species
CACGUAGGGGACGAGCGUUGUCCGGAUUCAUUGGGCGUAAAGAGCUUGUAGGCGGUUUGUCGCGUCUGCCGUGAAAAUCCGGGGCUCAACCCCGGACUUGCGGUGGGUACGGGCAGACUAGAGUGUGGUAGGGGAGACUGGAAUUCCUGGUGUAGCGGUGAAAUGCGCAGAUAUCAGGAGGAACACCGAUGGCGAAGGCAGGUCUCUGGGCCACUACUGACGCUGAGAAGCGAAAGCGUGGGGAGCGAACAGG